rnacentral:rRNA from 1 species
GGCUACACACGUGCUACAAUGGGUAGUACAGAGAGUCGCAAAGCCGCGAGGUGGAGCUAAUCUCAGAAAACUAUUCUUAGUUCGGAUUGUACUCUGCAACUCGAGUACAUGAAGUUGGAAUCGCUAGUAAUCGCGAAUCAGCAAUGUCGCNGGUGAAUACGUUCUCGGGUCUUGUACACACCGCCCGUCACACCACGAGAGUUGGUUGCACCUGAAGUAGCAGGCCUAACCGUAAGGAGGGAUGCUCCGAGGGUGUGAUUAGCGAUUGGGGUGAAGUCGUAACAAGGUAUCCGUACGGGAACGU